rnacentral:rRNA from 1 species
UUCUGGCUCAGAUGAACGCUGGCGGCAGGCCUAACACAUGCAAGUCGAACGGUAACAGGAAGAAGCUUGCUCUUGCUGACGAGUGGCGGACGGGUGAGUAAUGUCUGGGAAACUGCCUGAUGGAGGGGGAUAACUACUGGAAACGGUAGCUAAUACCGCAUAACGUCGCAAGACCAAAGAGGGGGACCUUCGGGCCUCUUGCCAUCGGAUGUGCCCAGAUGGGAUUAGCUUGUUGGUGGGGUAACGGCUCACCAAGGCGACGAUCCCUAGCUGGUCUGAGAGGAUGACCAGCCACACUGGAACUGAGACACGGUCCAGACUCCUACGGGAGGCAGCAGUGGGGAAUAUUGCACAAUGGGCGCAAGCCUGAUGCAGCCAUGCCCGCGUGUAUGAAGAAGGCCUUCGGGUUGUAAAGUACUUUCAGCGGGGAGGAAGGGAGUAAAGUUAAUACCUUUGCUCAUUGACGUUACCCGCAGAAGAAGCACCGGCUAACUCCGUGCCAGCCGCGGC